rnacentral:rRNA from 1 species
AACGCUGGCGGCGUGCCUAAUACAUGCAAGUCGAGCGAGCGGAACCAACAGAUUUACUUCGGUAAUGACGUUGGGAAAGCGAGCGGCGGAUGGGUGAGUAACACGUGGGGAACCUGCCCCUAAGUCUGGGAUACCAUUUGGAAACAGGUGCUAAUACCGGAUAAUAAAGCAGAUCGCAUGAUCAGCUUUUGAAAGGCGGCGUAAGCUGUCGCUAAGGGAUGGCCCCGCGGUGCAUUAGCUAGUUGGUAAGGUAACGGCUUACCAAGGCGACGAUGCAUAGCCGAGUUGAGAAACUGAUCGGCCACAUUGGGACUGAGACACGGCCCAAACUCCUACGGGAGGCAGCAGUGGGGAAUAUUGCACAAUGGGGGAAACCCUGAUGCAGCGACGCCGCGUGGAGGAAGAAGGUCUUCGGAUUGUAAACUCCUGUUGUUGGGGACGAUAAUGACGGUACCCGACAAGAAAGUGACGGCUAACUACGUG